UUUCGCUUUUACAUUUUCGCAACUUUGAUAGCCGCAGUGUUUCUCCUGCGACUUUGUAGUUUCGUUUUCAAGUAUUUGAUAUUCAGUUUUCGUUUAAGUCUUUCGUCAUUUCUGUUAUCAUGUUUUCAAUUGUUGCUUUGUUAUUGUCUUUGAUUAUGUCUGAGUAGUGAACUGUAUUUCUGAGGAUGGGAUAGAAUAGUUGUGGUUUACUUGGUCGUUUUAGGUGGUUGAGUUUAGAAUACUAGAAUCCCUUCUGGAUUAGUUGCGCUUAUUGCUUAUUUCACUGGCUAAUGUGGAGUAUGAGUCCAGACGUCCAGCGCUCAGAAGGCGUUUAAUGGGCGUUGGAUCCUAUUAAUUCCAGAGAUAUCUGACUCUACCCCAAGGGAUUGGCUGUAGAGAGGGUAUUGACUUUAACAUGUUGAUUCGAUAAUGCCUGCUUAGUUAGAGAUCGCUAAAGGGAUUUAGGUCAGUGUCUAGCUUUACUUGAGGAUUUCUAUCACGGGAGUGAAUUAAUCUGUUGUUGAACUUGUUGUCUAGGGAUAGCUUCUGUGAAGUUUUGUCAACCGCCUGAAUAGAUUAAGUAGACCACACUAUUCGAUUACCCCAUCCUUAGGAAUCGUUUAUCCAUUUGAUUGCCUGUUAUCAUUUCUGCUUUGUCAUUCACUUGCCUGCUAUUGCCAUUCCUGCUUUUAAUUUCACUUCAUUUCUGUUAUUGCAUACUAGGACUGUUAGAACCAACCAACUAUCUGCUUGGCUUGACUUAGAGCUUUCUGAUCAUAUCUCAUCUGUUUGCAUCACACCGAAUUGGAUUGACAUCCUAAAAUACUACAACGACAAGAUAGUGUUUUAGGGAUUAAUUGACAAAAAUCCUACUAUCAACGUAUAAGGGAAAGGAUAGGGCAUCCUUGAACACAAAGUUGACUUCGAGGUACAUGGGUCCAUUGAGGAUUCUGGAAAGAGUCGGCCCUGUUGCAUACUGAUAUAACCCUAUUUUUACUGCUUUUAGCUAUGAUAUAGGUAUAGGUUUUAGAGUCAAUUUGUUAUUUUUAGAGUCUUUUCUAGUACUUUUCAGGUCUUUACAUGUUUGGGAUUCAUUUGGAGAUAAUGGAGGAUUCUGGAGAAAAAGAGAGAAUUUAUGCAGCUGAAAAAAUCCGGAGACGAAAAACCGCGUAGGUGUCGAACGAAACCAAUACCUGACGUGAUGCAAACCCCGGAUUCCACCAAGACAAGACUCACUGAUUCAAAGACUAAAACUAUGCGGAAGUGGUAAUGAUGAUGAAGUAACCGAAUUGAUGUUGAAUCGACAACACCGAGGGCUAGAGAAUAUGAUUUAAGGGCUAUUCCUCGCGAGGAUCAGAGACUCUACACGAAACCUAAGUGGUUUGAUUCCACAAACUACUUAGAACUCCCAAAAACAAUGAUUUGAUUCAAGACAAAGUAUUGAAGCAAAACAAACUGAAUUUUCUUAUUAAUCAAAGCGUGAAUACAAAGUAGAGAAACAAAAAGCUUAAAUAGAAAAAUGCAGCAAAGGUCUAAAAUUU
rnacentral:sRNA from 1 species